rnacentral:rRNA from 1 species
GACGGAGGAUGCAAGUGUUAUCCGGAAUCACUGGGCGUAAAGCGUCUGUAGGUGGUUUAAUAAGUCAACUGUUAAAUCUUGAGGCUCAACCUCAAAAUCGCAGUCGAAACUAUUAGGCUAGAGUAUAGUAGGGGUAAAGGGAAUUUCCAGUGGAGCGGUGAAAUGCGUAGAGAUUGGAAAGAACACCGAUGGCGAAGGCACCUUACUGGGCUAUUACUAACACUCAGAGACGAAAGCUAGGGUAGCAAAUGGG